AUUGAACGCUGGCGGCAUGCCUUACACAUGCAAGUCGAACGGCAGCAUGAUCUAGCUUGCUAGAUUGAUGGCGAGUGGCGAACGGGUGAGUAAUACAUCGGAACGUGCCCUGUAGUGGGGGAUAACUAGUCGAAAGAUUAGCUAAUACCGCAUACGACCUGAGGGUGAGAGUGGGGGACCGCAAGGCCUCAUGCUAUAGGAGCGGCCGAUGUCUGAUUAGCUAGUUGGUGAGGUAAAGGCUCACCAAGGCGACGAUCAGUAGCUGGUCUGAGAGGACGAUCAGCCACACUGGGACUGAGACACGGCCCAGACUCCUACGGGAGGCAGCAGUGGGGAAUUUUGGACAAUGGGCGAAAGCCUGAUCCAGCAAUGCCGCGUGUGUGAAGAAGGCCUUCGGGUUGUAAAGCACUUUUGUCCGGAAAGAAAUGGCUCUGGUUAAUACCUGGGGUCGAUGACGGUACCGGAAGAAUAAGGACCGGCUAACUACGUG
rnacentral:rRNA from 1 species